UACGGAGGGUGCAAGCGUUGUCCGGAUUCAUUGGGUUUAAAGGGUGCGCAGGCGGGACAUUAAGUCAGGGGUGAAAGACGGUUGCCCAACAAUCGCAGUGCCUUUGAUACUGGUGUUCUUGGGUAACCUUGAGGUAGGCGGAAUGGGUGGUGUAGCGGUGGAAUGCGUAGAGAUCGGGAAGAACAUCAGUGGCGAAGGCGGCCUGCUGGGCUGUUGCUGACGCUGAGGCGCGACAGCGUGGGGAGCAAACAGG
rnacentral:rRNA from 1 species